UCCUGUCAUAUGGUUUGAACACCCGGAGUCGAGAAACCAAAUACCUUUUCCUUCAGCUUUACUGACUUCUGUGUGCGCCAUUAGGAGGAGUUCUUCUUCCUCGUCGAACUCGGUAUAGUUGACUCCUUUUUCCAGACUUGAACAUUCAAAUUGAUAAUGCCCUUGCUUUCCACAUCGAAAGCAAUUGAUGGCUGACCUGUUGACGAAAGAUCUACCUCUUCCC
rnacentral:lncRNA from 1 species